rnacentral:misc_RNA from 1 species
CUCAUCCAUGGCCAAAAUUCCACGACCAGGGGAUGCAAUAGUUUUCGCGGUUUUGACGAGCUCAUCAGCAUAGGAGCUAGCACGAACAGUGAGUGCAGAUGGUUGACAGCGGACGGAGACGGAUGGAAGGCGUAGGGAUUGGCCUUUUACAAACUCAGUUUUGUCAAGGACCGGAGAUGUCUUGAGGAGAGAUGCUGAUGCCAUUUUCUUACUUUCCUUAUCUUUCUCUCCUCAACUCCUGAGUAUUAUCUUGUGUGUUCAAUCUACAAGCAGAGAGCCCCAUGCUCACUGCAUAUAUAGUUCUAAAAGAUAAUAUCAUUUGAGGCCAUUAUAGUUUUGCCAAUUAGUUCUUGCCAGUUGGCUUGAUAACUU